rnacentral:lncRNA from 1 species
CUGUGGGUAGCAGAACCUCAAGGCUUCCUUUCUCUCCCUAGUCUUCUCUUUUUCCUCUUUCUAUUCUCCUUACCUUUCCUUUUUCUCUUCCUAAGCCCAUGUCCUAAAGCAGACUCUUUGUCCUAAUCUGGACUUGGUCUUAAUAAAGAAAGGAAAAGAAAAAUUUAGACACCUAGGAGACUAUGUAAGAAAGAAAGGAUUUGAGAUUUCUUAGAUGAUUUGAUUACC